UGGGGAAUAUUGCACAAUGGGCGCAAGCCUGAUGCAGCGACGCUGCGUGAGGGAUGACGGCCUUCGGGUUGUAAACCUCUGUUAGCAUCGAAGAAGCGAAAGUGACGGUAGGUGCAGAGAAAGCGCCGGCUAACUACGUGCCAGCAGCCGCGGUAAUACGUAGGGCGCGAGCGUUGUCCGGCAUUAUUGGGCGUAAAGAGCUUGUAGGCGGUUGGUCGCGUCUGCUGUGAAAGGCCGGGGCUUAACUCCGGUUUUGCAGGGGGUACGGGCUAACUAGAGUGCAGUAGGGGAGACUGGAAUUCCUGGUGUAGCGGUGGAAUGCACAGAUAUCAGGAGGAACACCGAUGGCGAAGGCAGGUCUCUGGGCUGUAACUGACGCUGAGAAGCGAAAGCAUGGGGAGCGAACA
rnacentral:rRNA from 1 species